GUGGGGGAUAUUGCGCAAUGGGGGAAACCCUGACGCAGCAAUGCCGCGUGAAGGAAGAAGGUUUUCGGAUUGUAAACUUCUUUUGUUAAGGACGAAGAAUGACGGUACUUAACGAAUAAGCUCCGGCUAACUAUGUGCCAGCAGCCGCGGUAAUACAUAGGGAGCAAGCGUUAUCCGGAUUUACUGGGUGUAAAGGGUGCGUAGGCGGCUAAGCAAGUCAGAUGUGAAAUACACGGGCUCAACCCGUGAGCUGCAUUUGAAACUGUUUAGCUUGAGUGAAGUAGAGGCAGGCGGAAUUCCCGGUGUAGCGGUGAAAUGCGUAGAGAUCGGGAGGAACACCAGUGGCGAAGGCGGCCUGCUGGGCUUUAACUGACGCUGAGGCACGAAAGCGUGGGUAGCAAACAGGAUUAGAUACCCUUGUAGUCC
rnacentral:rRNA from 1 species